UACGAAGGGGGCUAGCGUUGCUCGGAAUGACUGGGCGUAAAGGGCGCGUAGGCGGCUCGCUUAGUCAGGCGUGAAAGCCCCGGGCUCAACCUGGGAACCGCGCUUGAGACUGGCAUGCUCGAGUUCGGGAGAGGAUGGUGGAAUUCCCAGUGUAGAGGUGAAAUUCGUAGAUAUUGGGAAGAACACCGAUGGCGAAGGCAGCCAUCUGGACCGACACUGACGCUGAGGCGCGAAAGCGUGGGGAGCAAACAGG
rnacentral:rRNA from 1 species